CAACUACUCCCUCCGUCCCAAAAUUCUUGUCUUAAAUUUGUCUAGAUCCGUAUCUAGACAAAUAUAAGACAAAAAUUUUGGGACGGAGGUAAUAAUAU
rfam:Triticum aestivum genome assembly, contig: Triticum_aestivum_CS42_TGACv1_scaffold_129467_2BL